AAGGUAGCGAAAUUCCUUGUCGGGUAAGUUCCGACCUGCACGAAUGGUGUAACGACUUCCCUACUGUCUCGACCAGAAACUCAGUGAAAUUGUACUGCCGGUGAAGAUGCCGGUUACCCGUAGAAGGACGGAAAGACCCCGUGAACCUUUACUACAGCUUGAUAUUGGCUUUAGAUUCUAUAUGUGUAGGAUAGGUGGGAGACUUUGAAGCGGGCACGCUAGUGUUCGUGGAGUCAUCCUUGAAAUACCACCCUUAUAUCAUUUGAAUUCUAACUGUAUACCUUGAAUCAGGUAUCAGGACAGUGUCUGGUGGGUAGUUUGACUGGGGCGGUCUCCUCCUAAAAAGUAACGGAGGAGCUCAAAGGUUCCCUCAGCACGGUCGGUAAUCGUGCGCAGAGUGCAAACGCAUAAGGGAGCUUAACUGCAAGACAGACAUGUCGAGCAGAUGCGAAAGCAGGAGUUAGUGAUCCGGCGAUUCCGAGUGGAAGGGUCGUCGCUAAUCGGAUAAAAGGUACUCCGGGGAUAACAGGCUUAUAACCGCCAAGAGCUCAUAUCGACGCGGUUGUUUGGCACCUCGAUGUCGGCUCGUCUCAUCCUGGGGCUGGAGAAGGUCCCAAGGGUUGGGCUGUUCGCCCAUUAAAGAGGCACGCGAGCUGGGUUUAGAACGUCGUGAGACAGUUCGGUCCCUAUCCUCUACGGGCGUAGGAAAUUUGAGAGAAGCUGCAUCUAGUACGAGAGGACCGAUGUGGGCAAACCUCUAGUGUACCUGUUGUUACAUCAGUAGCAUCGCAGGGUAGCUACGUUUGAUCGGGAUAAGCGCUGAAAGCAUCUAAGUGCGAAGCCCAUCUCAAGAUAAGAUUUCCCUACUCUUUAGAGUCUAAAAACCUCCAGUAGACUACUGGAUUGAUAGGUCACAGAUGUAAGUACAGUAAUGUAUUUAGUCGAGUGAUACUAAAUUGGUUGUGAGACUUGAACAAAU
rnacentral:rRNA from 1 species